rnacentral:rRNA from 1 species
CCUACGGGAGUCAGCAGUGAGGAAUAUUGGUCAAUGGGCGCGAGCCUGAACCAGCCAAGUCGCGUGAGGGAAGACGGUCCUAUGGAUUGUAAACCUCUUUUGUCGGGGAGCAAAAGACGCCACGCGGGGCGGUCCGAGAGGACCCGAAGAAAAAGCAUCGGCUAACGCCGUGCCAGCAGGCGCGGUAAUACGGAGGAUGCGAGCGUUAUCCGGAUUUAUUGGGUUUAAAGGGUGCGCAGGCGGAAGAUCAAGUCAGCGGUAAAAUUGAGAGGCUCAUCCUCUUCGAGCCGUUGAAACUGGUUUUCUUGAGUGAGCGAGAAGUAUGCGGAAUGCUUGGUGUAGCGGUGAAAUGCAGAGAUAUCACGCAGAACUCCGAUUGCGAAGGCAGCAUACCGGCGCUCAACUGACGCUCAUGCACGAAAGUGUGGGUAUCGAACAGGAUUAGAUACCCGGGUAGUC